rnacentral:lncRNA from 1 species
UUUUCCUUCCUUUUUAUCAAAAGAACCCAUGUCAAGCCCAAGGCAUGGGGGAAUCAUUUGUAAGGCCUCAUCAAAUUUCCUUAUUAAUCAUUAAUUAAAAAGGGUUCAUGUUCGCAAUCAAUUUUGAGAUCCUUUCCUUUCAUUUAUUUAUUUCACUUUUUUUAAAUGGCAUUUAUCUUUUUAAAAUUUUUUUCUUUUCAAAUCAUCCUUUAUUUCAUACCAAUAAAAGCGUGGACCUUAAAUCAUGCAAAUCGUCCUCGACAACCACCAAUGACAAUUCUGCUACAGUCUCAUACAACUUUGAC